rnacentral:tRNA from 1 species
GCCACCGUAGCUCAGUUGGUAGAGCGUCACUUUCGUAAAGUGGGGGUCGGGUGUUCGAAUCACCUCGGUGGCUCAA